ACCCUUGACCACGGUAUAGUCAGCGACUGGGGUGAAGUCGUAACAAGGUAGCCGUAGGGGAACCUGCGGCUGGAUUACCUCCUUUCUAAGGAUGAAUGAAAGUAAAAUUUCAUUCUAAAUAAUAUACAUCGGUAAUGUUGACCGUCCUCAUUUCUCUUCUUAAAGUAAUGUUUCCUUCCUGUAGGGCCGGUAGCUCAGUUGGUUAGAGCACACCCUUGAUAAGGGUGGGGUCGAAAGUUCGAGUCUUUCUCGGCCCACCAUACUUAACUGGGGGAUUAGCUCAGCUGGGAGAGCGCCUGAUUUGCAUUCAGGAGGUCAGCGGUUCGAUCCCGCUAUCCUCCACCAGGAAACAUUUAGCUAUAAAAACUGUUAAUAAAUUUAAUAAUUAAUAUCAAUAUCUAUAUCCGAACAUUAGUAAUGUUAUUAGCUAAUGUUCAAAAUAAAAAUUUGAUUCAACACAGAAUUUUUUUCUGUGCAUAAAUCAAGCGUUUAAGGGCGUGUAGUGGAUGCCUUGGCGCUGAAAGCCGAUGAAGGACGUGAUAUACUGCGAUAAGUUUCGGGGAGCUGUAUGUAAGUUUUGAUCCGAAAAUUU
rnacentral:misc_RNA from 1 species